rnacentral:lncRNA from 1 species
UAAAUGCACAGGCCAAAACUCUCAGCUGCUGUGUACAAUACUGUAUACAGCAGCUAAAAUUAAAAACCUCCAUCAGAAAGUGUGUGUUCCCUAAUGAACACACACUGUCUGAUGUUCUGUUACCUACCAGCUGAAACCCCCCUUUUCUCCACCCAACUUUACACCACUCUCUUAGCAUGGGUGGCUGUAAGUACACUAGAGCAAACCUAAGUUUCCUUUUCUUUGGGUAGUUUUUUAUUUAUUUAAUUAUUUUUUUCAGUUGUCUCUGCCAUCUUUAACCUGAUUCCCAUUAGUACUAUCCUGACUAGCUCACUGUAAACUGAAAAAAUUAUCAAACUGUCAACCAAAAGUAAACACAUCACCUGUAGGUACAGUAGAGUAAAGCUAAGUUUCCUUUUGUUUGGGUAUUUUUUUUUUCUUCUUCAGUUGUCUCUGCCAUCUUUGACCUGACCAUUAGUGCUGUCCUGACUAUCUCACUGUGAGCAGAAAAAAAAUAUCAAACCAUCAACCAGAAGUAAACACAUCACUUUGGACAACUCAAAGACACAGUCUACCUGCUGUUUAACCCAGUCUUUGGUCGGAGGUGAAGAAGAGAUGACAUCCUCCACACCAUCCCCCUGCUGCUCUCAACAACCAUCAUCGCUGUGCUGGACAGAGACUGCAGCACCCACCAGGACCCUUCUCUCAUGGACUACACAAACAUGUGUUUUACCUGCUUGUGCUCCAGAUGUCCUGAAGCAGCUCUCAAGGACUACCAGACACCAGGCUGGAGCAGAACUGAUGCUGUAGCACCUGUCACUCACUGGGCUCGUUCCUGCUGAACCUCCAAGAGAUAAACCCCUCUUCAAGAAAGUCUGAGGUAAUGUCUUGGUGAACUUGUGUUCAUUUAUUUAUUCUUAGUAAUCUUAGCUGCUGUAUUAAUGCUUGUGACGCUAUUGUACAGCUCUGCUGAUAUCAUCGUCUUUAACAGCAGUGUUUUCUCCCAGGUCUUCUUCAAGCCAGUUAAGAGAGGAAGAACAGCUUAGACACUCAGACAGCUGAACACACCAAAGGUGGACAUCAUGCAGCCACCCUGAGCCUUGAGCCUCUCUGUGUAACGAAGCUUUGCUGCUGCAGACCUGGUGAAGUUGCUCUGGACAGAAAUAUUUUUUGCUCUGCUGCAGUGCUGAAGGUAUUCAUUGUAAUGAUGUGUGUAUUUAUUCAAUAUGUUUAGUUUCACAGAUUAUCAACACAAAUGUUUCUGUUUAUUUCCUGUUUUGAACCAGCUACAUUCUCCUACUUCAAGUCACUGUCUGUUCAUCCACGGUGUAGCCAGUGCAGCUCAGCAGAGUCCUACUAAUGGUGAUCCUUCAAGUCCUGCAGUCCUGUGAAGCAAGCUGCAGCAGAUGUCAUCACAUUCAGAUCAUCAGUUUAUCUUUACUGCAGCUUUAAAGUUUCCCUGAGGUAACGGUGUAUUUCCUUGCCCCAUAACAAUAACCAUGUUUGACCAACAUAGAAAAGCACAGUACUACUGUUAGCACAGGAUUACAGAGUUAAAGUGAAGGGGAUUUUGUUUGUUUUUUUCAGACCUCUCCUCCUCCUGCCUCUGACUCCAAUGAUGCUGUCAACUCGAACACUGAAUAACUGCACACAGCGAUUCUACAACCACAGGUCAAAGGUCAAAUCAUUACCUCACUCUAAACCUUCACUCUGAACUGUACCGGGCUCUGCUUUUGGUUUUGAAAAAAGUGCCCAGACAGAACACAGUACUCACUUGAGGAACUGACUGAUUGUCUUCAGGACAGGACAACUAUUACUCUUGUAUUGUUUUGAAUCCUGUUUUCUACAUUAAGUGAUCGGUUGUCAAUAUCUGUUAAUAUUUUCAGUUUCCUUUAUGUUUCUUGGAC